UGAAGCUGUAAUAGGAGAUUUAAUUGCAGAGGAAAAUCAAAUUUGCCAAAUAUAUAAAAACUCAGGAAAAGGGAAGACGUUAUUACGGGGGAUACAAUAUUUCACAUUGUUUCAUCCAAAUGCCUCAAUCUUAAAUGCUUUUGAGUUUGCUUCUUCAUAUGAACAGUUAUCAUCCAAGUGUUGUGACAAAGACAAAUGGACAUCAGACUGUUUUCUGGAUAUAUCUGACGUUCCUGUCUCACCGGUUUUGCUCAAUGUCAACUUCUCCUGAUCACCUUCCCCUGCUGUCAAGAGAUUAAUAACGCAAGAUUAUUAUGCCUGAAUAAUAUGGCCAAGAAUGCAGCACAGGAUAUCCCAAAAGAGAUAGAAGUUACAUCAAAACCUAUCUGUGUGAUCUUUACCAGAUGCACUAUGGAAGUCUCAUUAUAUGGUUCACCUAUGAAUAUACAAGAAGACACAGGGAAGAACGUUUGGAUUCUGUUCUAAAUUCUGUUUCUGAGUUUGAGGAAAUUGUUAAACAUUGCUGCAAUGGAUUCAUAAAUUCAACUUGUUUUUCCUCAAACUUAGCAUUAUUUGGAAUCAACUAUUCUACACCAUUUAACAUUACAAAUUAACUCUUAAUGCUGGACUUGACAAACCCAAGAGUCAGGGAGUCACUGGCUCCUAGAAUUGUACGCUUGUCUCCUUACUUUUUGGA